ensembl:snoRNA SNORA72 Small nucleolar RNA SNORA72
UUAUGAAUAUUCUCAUUGUUCUGAUUUUGUAAUAAUCAGAACAGGCUAAGCAUUUGCUAUAUUAAUAAUAUACAUAUGUCUCCAGACCUAGUUAUAUUUAUAGGUCUAGUUUUAUAAAUGCUGGUGAUAUAC